GGUUCACCACCCUCGUGAGCCCUCUGGAAGUAUUAUGGGACUCUGCGAUGAAGCCUUUACCUUUUUCAUUCGAAGGUGCUGUCUGGGUAGCCUUCGGCAAUGGCUGAGGAGUUGUGGUAUACCCCGCGAUGACCUCGUCAGCCUUGGAGCGUGGCUGAAGCGUGCAGCCCGAGGACCCCGGCCUUCUUAGGAGACGCCGACUAAGAGACAACAGCCUGGUGACAGGAGGAGCCUCCUGGACAGUGAGCUGGCCUUCUGUUGCGCCCAAGGAGGAUUUGCGUCCCCAGAUGUCUGAAAGAUAAGUUGAGGGCUAUGAUCCACAGAGGGAAUGAAAGCAAGCUGUCGGGGCUCACCGGGAGGGAUUUUUGAGUCAGCUUUGGAGGCGGGUAUGUCCAGGAAGGGGCCCCAUAGGCCACAUAAAGGGAAAGUCUCACAUUUGAUCACAAUGCCGA